CCUACGGGUGGCAGCAGUGAGGAAUAUUGGUCAAUGGGCGAGAGCCUGAACCAGCCAAGUCGCGUGAGGGAGUACUGCCCUAUGGGUUGUAAACCUCUUUUGUCGGGGAGCAAAAGCCGGACGUGUCCGGCUGUGAGAGUACCCGAAGAAAAAGCAUCGGCUAACUCCGUGCCAGCAGCCGCGGUAAUACGGAGGAUGCGGGGGUUAUCCGGAUUUAUUGGGUUUAAAGGGUGCGCAGGCGGAUUUUUAAGUCAGCGGUAAAAUCGUGGGGCUCAACCCCAUCCAGCCGUUGAAACUGGGGAUCUAGAGUGGGCGGGAGGUAUGCGGAAUGCGUGGUGUAGCGGUGAAAUGCAUAGAUAUCACGCAGAACCCCGAUUGCGAAGGCAGCAUACCGGUGCACAACUGACGCUCAGGCACGAAAGCGUGGGUAUCGAACAGGAUUAGAUACCCGGGUAGUC
rnacentral:rRNA from 1 species